GAGUGAUGAGGAAAUGUUCCUGUGACAAUCGGGUUCGUCAAAUUCAUCUGACCAUCAGAUAUUAAGAGCUAGUCUGAACUC
rfam:Oryza glaberrima chromosome 7 Oglab07_0044_3, whole genome shotgun sequence.